CAAAGGAAUUGACGGGGGCCCGCACAAGCGGUGGAGUAUGUGGUUUAAUUCGAUGCAACGCGAAGAACCUUACCUGGUCUUGACAUCCCGGAGACCCUUAGGAAACUAGGGGGUGCUUCCAUCUGGAAGAAUCUGGAGACAGGUGCUGCAUGGCUGUCGUCAGCUCGUGUCGUGAGAUGUUGGGUUAAGUCCCGCAACGAGCGCAACCCUUGCCUUUAGUUGCCAGCAGUUCGGCUGGGCACUCUAAAGGGACUGCCGGUGUUAAACCGGAGGAAGGUGGGGAUGACGUCAAGUCCUCAUGGCCUUUAUGACCAGGGCUACACACGUACUACAAUGGCCGAUACAAAGGGCAGCGACACUGCGAGGUGAAGCCAAUCCCGUAAAAUCGGUCUCAGUCCGGAUUGGAGUCUGCAACUCGACUCCAUGAAGUUGGAAUCGCUAGUAAUCGUGGAUCAGCAUGCCACGGUGAAUACGUUCCCGGGCCUU
rnacentral:rRNA from 1 species